UUACUGUUCCAACAUUACGCUCUAAUUUAACUCAAUUCAGUUGGACAAUUGCGAUUCUGUUAAAGUGGGAGGUAAAGCCAGUGAGUUCAAAAAUAAACAUGCUGUGUGAAUGUUUGAUAAUCUUUCUGACUCAAUAGAUAUGUUAAUAAUUGUUUAGUCCUGACUUAGAGUAAAAAUUAGUCUGUGCUUUCCAGUUUAAUGACUUUAAUUUCUAAUGAUAAGGAUAUCUAACUAAAAUCUCCGAUAAUAAUAGCUAACUUUACUUAACAUAUUUACUCAAGAAUGAAAGAGACUAAGUUAUAUCUAAGAAUCCGAUAUCAUUAUGAUUACUUUUUAAUCAUGCUGUUAUUUUAUCCUCCCAGUUUUAAAAAUUGCAGACACAAGUUCAAUUAAGAGAAUUCUUAGCCGAGAUCUUUCUACACAAUCGGGAAAAGUCAGGCUAUAGUGAACGUGUUGACUUUUGAGAUUGUUACAUAUAGCAGAUUUGGAAAUGGAGCUGGGCAGUUCUUGACCAUUGCAACACAGCAGCACAGGAUAUCCGGUCCAUGUUCUGUUACCAUCAGCAAGAGUAACUUCAAAUUUAACAGAAAAAAGGUUAAAAAUCAUUCUCCAGCACAGUUUAAAAACUGGCACGGGAAAGGAACAAACUACAAUAUAUGAGAUUAGAUUACAUUACUUACAGUGUGGAAACAGGCCC